rfam:Aedes aegypti strain Liverpool supercont1.542 genomic scaffold, whole genome shotgun sequence.
CCAUCGGCCCUUGUCAGGGCCAUAAUAUUUGUGGAAAAGAGUUGAAG